rnacentral:rRNA from 1 species
AUGAACGCUGGCGGCGUGCCUAAUACAUGCAAGUCGAGCGAACAGACGAGGAGCUUGCUCCUCUGACGUUAGCGGCGGACGGGUGAGUAACACGUGGAUAACCUACCUAUAAGACUGGGAUAACUUCGGGAAACCGGAGCUAAUACCGGAUAAUAUAUUGAACCGCAUGGUUCAAUAGUGAAAGACGGUUUUGCUGUCACUUAUGGAUGGAUCCGCGCCGCAUUAGCUAGUUGGUAAGGUAACGGCUUACCAAGGCGACGAUGCGUAGCCGACCUGAGAGGGUGAUCGGCCACACUGGAACUGAGACACGGUCCAGACUCCUACGGGAGGCAGCAGUAGGGAAUCUUCCGCAAUGGGCGAAAGCCUGACGGAGCAACGCCGCGUGAGUGAUGAAGGUCUUCGGAUCGUAAAACUCUGUUAUUAGGGAAGAACAAAUGUGUAAGUAACUAUGCACGUCUUGACGGUACCUAAUCAGAAAGCCACGGCUAACUACGUG